rnacentral:tRNA from 1 species
GAUGGUAUAGCUCAAGAGGUAGAGCGCAUGCUUAGCGUGUGAAAGGUCCUGGGUUCAAUCCCCAGUACCUCCA